rnacentral:lncRNA from 1 species
CUAAUGUUUUCUUUUCUAUAAUUGCAGGAGCCAUUGACACUGGAGAAUGAUACCUACCCUGAAAUAACUCACUUCCUGAGGAAAAAACGCCAUCUCUAGGGACUUUAAAAAGCACUCAUGUUUCCAUCCUCACUGUUGACUCCUGGCUUAAAGGGAUCUCCCGGGGUGAGUGAGGAGGCGGGAUCGGACCCUGGCAGUCUGACGGCAGCACCUGUGUUCCUCUGCACUGGGCCGUGGAUGACAUUACACACCUUGAUGGAGGCAGUGGCUGGAGUGAAUGAACGGCAACACUUGCUGGCAACCGGCAGAAGCUGAGAGACAGGGAACAGGCUCUCCUCCAGAGCCUCCAGGAGCCAGGCCUUUGGACACCUUGAAUGUGGGCUUCUGGGAGACCAUGCGUUUCUGUUAUAAGCAGCCCAGUCUCUGGCAGUUUUUACGGCUGCCCCGGAACACUCAUCUAUACCUGUCUGACAAGGUCAAGCUCCAAGGAAGGGAUUCUCUACAUAUCUACAUUGUUUGCAGAUUUUACAAUAAUCAUUUAUUCUUGCAUGGCUGAUCAUUGUUAACCAAUACAAAUAAAAUAAUAAAGAAAUGACCCACAUUUUAUGUUGGGAGUUUGAUCUGCCAU